UACGUAGGGACCAAGCGUUGUUCGGAUUUACUGGGCGUAAAGGGCGCGUAGGCGGCGCGGUAAGUCACUUGUGAAAUCUCUGAGCUUAACUCAGAACGGCCAAGUGAUACUGCAGUGCUAGAGUGUGGAAGGGGCAAUCGGAAUUCUUGGUGUAGCGGUGAAAUGCGUAGAUAUCAAGAGGAACACCUGAGGUGAAGACGGGUUGCUGGGCCAACACUGACGCUGAGGCACGAAAGCGUGGGGAGCAAACAGG
rnacentral:rRNA from 1 species